rnacentral:rRNA from 1 species
AGUCCUAAGUGGGUGGUAAACUCCAUCUAAGGCUAAAUAUGACCACGAGACCGAUAGCGAACAAGUACCGUGAGGGAAAGUUGAAAAGCACUUUGAAGAGAGAGUUCAAGAGUACGUGAAACCGUUUAGGGGUAAACCUGAGAAACCCGAAAGGUCGAAGGGAGAAAUUCAUUCGCGUUUCGAGGUCGGCGCGUGACGGUCGAUCGUGACGGCUUACACUCGUGUCGGCCGCACCUUCCGUUUCGCGAUCCGACGACGAACGUGUGCACUUUUCUCCUGGUAGGACGUCGCGAUCCGUUGAAUGUCGAUCUACGGCCCGCGGUGGAGCCCGUACGUACGGCGUCAAAAACCGUCUCACGUUCGGACCCGCGUGCGUCCCGGUCGACUCGUUCGACGGUAUACCAAAGGUUUAAGGCCGCUUUUGAUAUAUAAGCGUUCGACUCGCGGCAAGCGCUCCGGAUGCGUCGGCGAUCGGACCCGGUGCCGAUUCUGACCUCCGGUGACUGUUGGCCGCGAUGCUCUCGAACAGACCUUUUAACCGAUCUGCGACGCUAUAGCUUUGGGUACUUUCAG